rnacentral:lncRNA from 1 species
GGAAAGAGCAGCCAACAGAAGGCUGGGAAAUGGAUGUGGGCUUGCAGCUUGCAAAUCUCAUACGUUAGAAGUUUAAGGGAUUGCUCCAUUGGAUAACUAAUUGCAGGUAAGAGACUUUCCUAUACAGAGGUGAGUCUGUGCAGUUUCAUGACAUGCACUGGUAUUGCCGAUGCAUUUCCUGGUAGAUAAUGCAUGAGAUCACAAUUUCCACCUGAUACUGUAAACACUUGAGGCUCCAUUUGGUUACUCUUGUUUUACAAGCUCUCAACGUGCUUUUUAUGCUGUUCUCUCUGAGCAAGGUGUUAAGACAAGGAUGGGACUGCAUGUUGAAUCAGCUCACUGUGGAAAACAGGUCUGCUUUAAAAAGCACACUAGAGGAGCUUGGGGUAAUCAUCCUUGUUGCGGAAGUAUGUCUGCGUAAGCCUUGUGUUACACACCAUGAGGAGUGCGAGAUUCCAGGAAUUACAGGUGCACUUACCAGGACCUGUGUUCCUUUUUGGGACAAUUAGGCACAGCAGCAACUGUGGUGUCUUUAUGAUAUAUGGUUUUAUUUACACAUAUACACAACCUGCACCUAGGUGGAAGGAUUGCAGAGCAUUCAUGUCAUAUGAGGAUCUGGUUUCUUGCUUAAGGGCAAAACCAGAUUCAAACUACAGUAAAAAGCCAUUUCCUUUGUCUCUUAGUUCCAGCCUGUUAUCCUCUGCUCACACAGAGUUCUCCCCUCCUUCUCACUGCUAACUGACUCCAAGGGCACCCCACCCCCAGCCUGUGUCAUUCAAAGCUGAAACCCUAAACCUGGCCUUUGCCUCUGCCCAUUAGCACCCAGCAAAGAAGGGGUCCCACUCCCCCUUGCCCAGCAAUCUUGCCCUCUGAUGGUUUCCUUGAUGGGCCACCACCAACCUUUAUCCCCUGCUAAACCACAGAGCCUAGGGCUUGCCGAUCAGAAGGUCAGCAGCUCGAAUCCCCACGACGGGGUGAGCUCCUGUUGUUCGGCUCCUGCGAACCUAGCAGUUUGAAAGCACGGCAAAAAUGCAAGGGGAUAAAUAGGUACCGCUCCGGCGGGAAGGUAAACAGCGUUUCCGUGCGCUACUCCGGUUCGCCAGAAGCGGCUUAGUCAUGCUGGCCACAUGACCCGGCAGCUGUACUCCAGCUCCCUCAGCCAGUAAAGUGAGAUGAGCGCCACAACCCCAGUCCUGCGACUGGACCUAAUGGUCAGGGGUCCCUUUACCUUUAAUGGCUCAUCCCACUAGCUCUGUGCUCUGGCUUGGCUACUUAGCAUCACUAAAUCCAGGGGUUUUCUGUGUUUGGCAAAGUUCAAUCAACCUUGAGUUAUUCUAACCCAGCCAGAUGGGUGGGGUAUAAAUAAUAAUUUUUAUUAAAUUAUUUCUUUAUUAUUUGAAUAUUUAUUUAUUACAGCCAGGAAUUAAAUUCCUGGGAUCUGGCACCCAGGAAUUUAGGGGAAUGUGGCCCCCCACCAAACCCCUAAUACAGGCACUCCUAAAUGAUCUUCUGUACAUAAUUGUGUUGCCCUUUAUUAAGGUGAAUGCAAUCUUUAUUUUCUCUGAAAAUCCCCAUUAGUAAAAAUGGAUUGUAACAACAAUCUCCCUGUCAAAAAUACUUCUUGGGGGACGGGGAAUGAUCAAGAGCAUUGUGGCUGAGCAACUGCAGACAUUCCUGAAUAAGAUUGACGAUCUGGAUCAUGGGUAGGCAAACUAAGGCCUGGGGGCUGGAUCCGGGACAAUUGCCUUCUAAAUCCACCCUGCAGACAGUCCAGGAAUCAGCAUGUUUUUGCAUGAGUAGAAUGUGUGCUUUUAUUUAAAAUGCACCUCUGGGUUAUUUGUGGGGCAUAGGAAUUCAUUCAUCCCCCCCCCCAAUAUCGUCCGGGCCCCCCACAAGGUCUGAGGGACAGUGGACUGGUCCCCUGCUGAAAAAGUUUGCUGACCCCUGAUCUGGAUCCAUGACUGUCUGGGUUUAGGCCUGGGUUUGAGACCAAAUCAUAGCUGUCAACCUUCCCUUUUUUUGCAGAAAAUUCCUUUAUUCCCAGCGCCGUUUCCUACUGCUUCCCGCUGCUAUCCUGGAUUAUUAGAUAUCCUGUAGACUGUCCCCGGGACAGGUGAGGCUGCUGAUCCCUUAUUUUCAAAUCUGAAAGUUGACAGCUAUGGACCAAAUCAGCCUUGGUCAUCCUGAUAGACAGGGGGAUUCCAAACCUGCUCUUUCUCCUUGAUGUCUCAAUGGCUUUUGAUAUCAUUGACCAUGGUAUCCCUCUGGACUGACUCUGAGUAUCGGUGGAACUGUGUUAUGAUGAUUCUGUUUCUGCCUGCAGGGUUGUGUCGAGAAAGUAGCAUUGGAAUUUUAGAAGACUGUGUGUGAGCAGCCUUUUGUCAACCACACCUGGAAAGAAAAGCAAAUGUUCUCCUCCACCUUGUGCAGCAUCAAAACUGCAAAAUGAAGUGGAUUAAUGAGACUAUUUCAACUUUUCACAAUUCCUCCACAAGGAUAUUAAUAUCCCUGCCCUAUUUGUACUUCC